rnacentral:lncRNA from 1 species
UUUGCAAUAGCCCGGGGCUGCUCAUGCCAGAAAACUGCAAAGGUAGAGGGUUCUUGAAAAUGAUGGGGCUCAAAAGAAUCCUAAUCUGACCAGUCUGAAGGACUCCUACAUAUCCUUCGACUUCAUGUAUGAAAGGUUCGGACAUAGUAAAUCAUACCGCAAUCAUAUGGACGAGUUCACCCUCACCUCUUUGGGGCACAUACAUAGGAGAGCCUUUGUAUUCAUGUUCUGUUUCCUG